rnacentral:piRNA from 1 species
UGGGAACCAUUUAAAAAAGAA